GAUAUCAUGGGAGACGGCACCAAAAGCCUUGCUGAAGUCAAGGUAGAUGACAUUCACUGCUCUCCCUCCAUCUACCCAGCUGGUGAUGGCAUCAGAGAAGGCUACGAGUUUCGCUGAGCAGGAUUUUCCCUCGGCGAGUCCAUGCUGAUAAUUCCUGAUCACCCUCUUCUCUCCCAGUUGCUUGGAGACGGCAUCUAGAACAAGCUGUUCUGUCACUUUUCAAGGGACGGAGGUAAGACUGAGCGGCCUUGACUUUCCCGGAUCCUCCUUCUUGCCCUUUCCGAAGACCGGCGUGACAUCGGCUAUCUUCUGGUCCUCAGGCACCUCCUCUGUUCUCCAAGACCUGUCAAAGAUGACAGAGGGUGUCAGCAGUCACAUCUGCCAUCUCCCCCAGCACAUGUGGAUGCAUCCCGCCGGUGAUUUUUUACAGGAGAAAGGUGUGGCACGAUACCGCAGCUCUUCACAGCUUCAAAGCAUUACGUGCACAGUACAGAUACAGAUGUCCGGAGUGUUUCACCUCAUUCACCCAACUGGUAAUGGGAAGGUUAGGAACAGUAAAAAACAUCAUCUUCUUCCAGAAGGCCUUGAAAACCUGUUGGAAAGGCGACACCUCCUAUGGAAGCUUUGCUGGUAAUUCAGAUGUUCGUGAUAUGUGAAUCCUUACCUUAGAAGUCGUGCUUGAUUGGAUUUGCUGCAGUGUUUCGGGUGAGGAACUGCAUUUCUGGAGGAAUUUCUACUUCUUGCCCAACCCUGAUGGCGUUGCAUAUCAUUCAAGGAGCAGCGCAAGUGUAUUCUUCAGAGUACUGGAAGAAGUGAAAAAUACAUUUUCUCCCCUUCCUUAUUACUGUCACCUUCAUAGCAGUUUCCUGCUUGACCAAACCCGCUCUGUCACAGUGUCUGCCAUGGAAACUGGAAUGAAAUUUCAGCACUGAUGCAGGCUUUGAGACGGUAAUCAAGUGUGUGACUGAGUUAUUGGAAUGUGAUGUAUCCGGUCCAUCAUGCGCUUGUGGGUUCUCCAAGCCGAGUCAGAAAAGAAUAGUAACAAACUCUUCAAACAGUGCAAACUAGCAGCGCCUCGCAAGGCAGGACGUUACAUUUGACUGUUGGUAGAGGUAGAUCUGAAGUUCAUUCUGGGGGUAGGAGAAUUUUCCCAGGCUCUUCUGUAUCACAGCCACAAAUUACGCUAUGCAUGCUUACAUAUUUACUAACAGAUCUCCUGCAGAAAGAUAGUAAUAACCAUGCUACUGGAAUUCCAGAAAC
rnacentral:lncRNA from 7 species